GAGGAUGUAGCUCAGUGGUAGAACAUCUGCUUUAUGCGCAGAAUGUCCCAGGUUCAAUCCCUGGCAUGUUCA